rnacentral:rRNA from 1 species
UUGAACGCUGGCGGCAUGCCUAACACAUGCAAGUCGAACGGUAACGGACCGCUGUGAUCCCUUCGGGGUGAACUUGGUGCCGACGAGUGGCGGACGGGUGAGUAAUACUUAGGAAUCUGCCCAGUAGUGGGGGACAACACGGGGAAACUCGUGCUAAUACCGCAUACGCCUUACGAGGGAAAGUGGGGGAUCUUCGGACCUCACGCUAUUGGAUGAGCCUAAGUCGGAUUAGCUUGUUGGUGAGGUAAAGGCUCACCAAGGCGACAAUCCGUAGCUGGUCUGAGAGGACGAUCAGCCACACUGGAACUGAGACACGGUCCAGACUCCUACGGGAGGCAGCAGUGGGGAAUAUUGGACAAUGGGCGCAAGCCUGAUCCAGCAAUGCCGCGUGUGUGAAGAAGGCCUGCGGGUUGUAAAGCACUUUCAGUAGAGAAGAAAAGCUUACGGUUAAUACCUGUGAGUCUUGACGUAACCUACAGAAGAAGCACCGGCUAACUCCGUG